CAGUCACUGACUUAGGAGCUGAAACUUGGCAGGCAUCCUGUCCACCUUAAUCCUUUCUGCAGUUUGUAAGCAAUGAGCCGAGAGCAGAGGAGAGCAGGCAGCUGAGCAGGCUCUGCUCUUUGAACUUCAGUUUCUUUAUUGUUUUCCCUUCCUGCUUCCAGAGCUGGUCUUUAAGUGUGAAAGAAACACCAUGCAGCGUUUGGCUCUGCUAAUUAGGCAGCUUCUUUCACUGACUCUGGAAAAAAUAUUUGGCCAACACUUGCAGUCUCAUGGUCCUUUGGCCCAGCAAAUAUUGAUUCAAUUCCUCUGCGAUUUUUCCAGAAUGAAAAGGCUUUGUUUUCAAAGCGUUGAAGAGAACCUUUUCCAGCUUUGUUCGGUUGCGUGGAGGCCAACAAAACUCGAGGUAUUUCUGUAACAAAGAAGACCCACACAUGUAAGUAAAGGCUUUCUGAUUUGGUCACUUUCUCUUAUGCACAGGACAAUUGGAUUGGUGGGAUGAUGAGUGUUGCCUUUUUGUUGGGUCCUCCAUUAACCAAUAAGCUUGGAGGGCAGGGGAGUUAGAAAGGUGACAGAGCUCUUGCUUGCUCCAUAGGGGACCAAAGAGCUUAUAAAAGGCAGAGGAUACGCGGGAAUUCUGGUAGACCCAGGACUUGGGGAGAAAUCCCUACAAGAGCUUCUUAUCUCCAAGGCAGUUCCAUCUUUGAGAAACAGAGAGUGAUAUGGACAUAACUGUGGGAUUCAGGCAAGGCAUUUGAGGAGUCUCAGCAACUGUUUAGGAUUAGGAAUUGGAAGUGUCAUAAUUUCAUAUCUAUGCUUGACAAAUGCAACCUGAAGUAAGAGGAAAUAAUUGCUAUUUUUCUGGUGUGAGACAGAACAAUGCCCAUGUUAAUCUUUGCUGUGCUAGGUCUCUGCUCUCUCUGCUAGCCCGGUGACUUUUUUUACCGCAGGUUCUUGUGGGCUUCUGUCAGUUGGGAGGCUUCGGUUGGAAAUAAUGAAGUGAC
rnacentral:lncRNA from 1 species